CAGCAGCCGCGGUAAUGCGUAGGGUGCGAGCGUUAAUCGGAAUUACUGGGCGUAAAGCGUGCGCAGGCGGUUGUGUAAGACAGGUGUGAAAUCCCCGGGCUUAACCUGGGAACUGCGCUUGUGACUGCACAGCUAGAGUAUGGCAGAGGGGGGUGGAAUUCCACGUGUAGCAGUGAAAUGCGUAGAGAUGUGGAGGAACGCCGAUGGCGAAGGCAGCCCCCUGGGCCAAUACUGACGCUCAUGCACGAAAGCGUGGGGAGCAAACAGGAUUAGAUACCCCAGUAGUCCCUGUCUCUUAUAC
rnacentral:rRNA from 1 species